AACGAACGCUGGCGGCAGGCUUAACACAUGCAAGUCGAACGCUCGACCUUCGGGUCGGGAGUGGCAGACGGGUGAGUAACGCGUGGGAACGUACCCUUCGGUUCGGAAUAACCCAGGGAAACUUGGGCUAAUACCGGAUACGUCCUGGCCUGGAGACAGGGUGGGAGAAAGGUUUACUGCCGAAGGAUCGGCCCGCGUCGGAUUAGCUAGUUGGUGGGGUAACGGCCCACCAAGGCGACGAUCCGUAGCUGGUCUGAGAGGAUGAUCAGCCACACUGGGACUGAGACACGGCCCAGACUCCUACGGGAGGCAGCAGUGGGGAAUAUUGGACAAUGGGCGGAAAGCCUGAUCCAGCCAUGCCGCGUGAGUGAAGAAGGCCUUAGGGUUGUAAAGCUCUUUCAGCGGGGACGAUAAUGACGGUACCCGCAGAAGAAGUCCCGGCUAACUUCGUGCCAGCAGCCG
rnacentral:rRNA from 1 species